UGGGGAAUCUUGCGCAAUGGGCGAAAGCCUGACGCAGCCAUACCGCGUGAAUGAUGAAGGUCUUAGGAUUGUAAAAUUCUUUCAGUAGGGACGAUAAUGCCGGUACCUACAGAAGAAGACUCGGCUAACUUCGUGCCUGCACCCGCGGUAAUACGAAGGGGGCUAGCGUUGCUCGGAAUUACUGGGCGUAAAGGGAGCGUAGGCGGACAUUUAAGUCAGGGGUGAAAUCCCGUGGCUCAACCUCGGAAUUGCCUUUGAUACUGGGUGUCUUGAGUGUGAGAGAGGUAUGUGGAACUCCGAGUGUAGAGGUGAAAUUCGUAGAUAUUCGGAAGAACACCAGUGGCGAAGGCGACAUACUGGCUCAUUACUGACGCUGAGGCUCGAAAGCGUGGGGAGCAAACAGG
rnacentral:rRNA from 1 species